rnacentral:rRNA from 1 species
UACGUAGGGUGCAAGCGUUGUCCGGAAUUAUUGGGCGUAAAGAGCUCGUAGGCGGUUCGUCGCGUCGGCUGUGAAAACCCGGAGCUCAACUCCGGGCCUGCAGUCGAUACGGGCGGACUCGAGUUCGGCAGGGGAGACUGGAAUUCCUGGUGUAGCGGUGAAAUGCGCAGAUAUCAGGAGGAACACCGGUGGCGAAGGCGGGUCUCUGGGCAUUAACUGACGCUGAGGAGCGAAAGCAUGGGGAGCGAACAGG